GAUGAAGAACGCAGCGAAAUGCGAUAAGUAAUGUGAAUUGCAGAAUUCAGUGAAUCAUCGAAUCUUUGAACGCAUCUUGCGCUCCUUGGUAUUCCUUGGAGCAUGCCUGUUUGAGUAUCAUGAGCAAAUCUCAAAGUCAAUUCCUUUUGUUAAUUCAAUUGGUUUUGCUUUGGACUUGGAGGUCUUGCAGAUUUUCACAGUCUGCUCCUCUUAAAUGCAUUAGCUGGAUCUCAGUAAUUAUGCUUGGUUCCACUCGGCGUGAUAAGUAUCACUCGCUGAGGACACUGUUAAAAAGGUGGCCAGGAAAAUACUGAUUGAUCCGCUUCUAACGGUCUAUUAAGUUAGACAAUUACCCUUAAGUUUGAUCUCAAAUCAGGUAGGACUACCCGCUGAACUUAAGCAUAUCAAUAAGCGGAGGA
rnacentral:misc_RNA from 1 species